CUACUGACUUUCACGUGAACACGAAUUAGAGUUAUUCCAAUUUAGAUUAUUAUUAAUAGAUAAAUUUGAACUCAGAGUUUUGGACUAAGAGAAAUUUUCUAUUGGAAAAGUUUAUACAGGCACUAUUUCCUUUAUGUUGAGAUCCCACAAUACCCAAACAAGAUCAGAGUAGGUUUUCUAACUCAAGCAAAGUCCUGCCGAGAUAGCUAGCCUAGAUGGGCCAGAUAGAACACCGGUGCAGAAAAAACCUGCAUGGAUCGGAUGAAUGUCUUCCAAAUGUAUAUCCACCAGCUCGCAUUGGAGCAGUGAGGUAGAAUGAGCUCCAAAUCUUUUCCUUUAAAAGAAAGGACGUUUACUCCAUUAGUGACAUAUUUAUAUUAAUUAUAAGAUAGCGAUCUUGUGUGGUGGAGAAAGACUCUCAUUAAAUAACGGCAUCAGGAACACGGUCUUCAGUCAUGAGACUUCAGAAGAAGAAAUAGUUAUAAGAUUUUUUUCCAAAAUAUUCAACUUCACUUUUAGUACUGUAAUAAAAAAAAUGUAGCUGAGAUUUAAUUAAAAAAUAAUUAUUUUUGAUUUUAUUAUUGAAUAAACAGAAGAAACGCAUACGAGUGAAUGAUACUUCAUUUAAAAAUCAAACUAGAUAUUUUUUUAUUAGUUUUUUUUUUACUAUAUAAAAGAUAGUUAACUGUUAUCACGCCUGAUGGAAAGAUGAUAUGUAUGAAAUAAAAAUAAUAUAAAUAAAGCAAAGAUGUUUGUUAUCACUAAAUAUUUAUUUUUAUCAUUACUCAUGAUUUCUGAACUGAACUGUUUAAAUCAAUACGAAAAUUUGAAUAGUUAUGAUUGGUUAAAAAAAUUACUUAAACCGCAAAGUCAAGUUACAGCAAAGUUGUUCGUUUUGAAUAAGUUAAAUAACGGAAAAGGCUUCUAUAUAACUCUUGAUGAUGAAAUUUCACUUAACGCUGAUAACGAAAAAAGCGAAGAUGUCAUUGAAAAUACCAUAGACAAAUCUAUAUUUUUUCGAAACAAAGAUGAAUUAUUUGAAAUCGAAAGUGAAAGCGACGAAAAUGUAAAAAACUCCGCACGUAUACAAUCAUCAGUGCAAAAUAAAUCUUCUGGUUUCACUUUAGUUCCACGAGGUUCGCGUGGUAAAGAAAAAUGUGUCAGGGCAUGUAAAGAGGUCGUCUGGAGUGUAUGCCAUUACUUUUCAUGUGACAGAAGAACGCGUCGGAGGAUUAGACGACGCUGUCGAAGGGCGUGUAGAAAGAGGUUUUAACACACAAAUGUAAUUAAGAAAAUAUUAAAACUUUCUUUAAGGUGUC